rnacentral:rRNA from 1 species
UACGAAGGGGGCUAGCGUUGUUCGGAAUUACUGGGCGUAAAGCGCACGCAGGCGGCGCGUUAAAUUAGAAGUGAAAGCCCUGGGCUCAACCCGGGAAUUGCUUUUAAGACUGGCGCGCUUGAAUCCGGAAGAGGGUAGUGGAAUUCCCAGUGUAGAGGUGAAAUUCGUAGAUAUUGGGAAGAACACCAGUGGCGAAGGCGACUGCCUGGUCCGGCAUUGACGCUCAUGUGCGAAAGCGUGGGGAGCAAACAGG